rnacentral:rRNA from 1 species
UACGGAGGGUGCAAGCGUUAUCCGGAUUUAUUGGGCUUAAAGGGCGCGUAGGCGGGUCUGUAAGUCAGUGGUGAAAUCUCUGGGCUUAACUCGGAAACUGCCAUUGAUACUAUAGGGCUUGAAUUAUCUGGAGGUGAGCGGAAUAUGUCAUGUAGCGGUGAAAUGCUUAGAUAUGACAUAGAACACCAAUUGCGAAGGCAGCUCACUACGCAUAUAUUGACACUGAGGCACGAAAGCGUGGGGAUCAAACAGG